UAGGGAAUCUUCGGCAAUGGACGAAAGUCUGACCGAGCAACGCCGCGUGAGUGAAGAAGGUUUUCGGAUCGUAAAACUCUGUUGUUAGAGAAGAACAAGGACGUUAGUAACUGAACGUCCCCUGACGGUAUCUAACCAGAAAGCCACGGCUAACUACGUGCCAGCAGCCGCGGUAAUACGUAGGUGGCAAGCGUUGUCCGGAUUUAUUGGGCGUAAAGCGAGCGCAGGCGGUUUCUUAAGUCUGAUGUGAAAGCCCCCGGCUCAACCGGGGAGGGUCAUUGGAAACUGGGAGACUUGAGUGCAGAAGAGGAGAGUGGAAUUCCAUGUGUAGCGGUGAAAUGCGUAGAUAUAUGGAGGAACACCAGUGGCGAAGGCGGCUCUCUGGUCUGUAACUGACGCUGGGGCUCGAAAGCGUGGGGAGCAAACAGG
rnacentral:rRNA from 2 species